rnacentral:tRNA from 1 species
AAUGUGGCUCAGUCGGUAGAGCGUUGGCCUGCUGAGCCAAAAGUCGCAGGUUCGAUCCUUGUU